CCUUGUACACACCGCCCGUCACACCAUGGGAGUGGAUUGUACCAGAAGCGGGUAGACUAACCUUAGGGGGUCGCUCACCACGGUAUGGUUCAUGACUGGGGUG
rnacentral:rRNA from 1 species